ensembl:misc_RNA Metazoa_SRP Metazoan signal recognition particle RNA
GCUGGGCAUGGUGGUGGGUGCCUGUAAUCCCAGCUACUUGGGAGGCUGAGACAGGAGAAUUGCUUGAACCCAGGAGGUGGAGGUUGCAGUGAGCCGAGAUUGCACCACUGCACUCCAACCUGGGUGACAGAGUGAGACUCUGUCUCAA